AAUUCAUCAACCAGUUGAACGAAUUAGGUAAUUUAUCACCUGGAAACGAAAUCGACACAAUGAACCGCAAUGAACUCGCAACGCUACCGGUUUCAAAUGAUUUUACGGAAACUCCAUUGACCAAUAUAGUAGCAGAAUUUCAACCAAACGAUGUCACUGUCACUCAUUUGCCCGAAU